rnacentral:rRNA from 1 species
UACGGAGGGUGCAAGCGUUAUCCGGAUUCACUGGGUUUAAAGGGUGCGUAGGCGGGCAGGUAAGUCCGUGGUGAAAUCUCUGAGCUUAACUCAGAAACUGCCAUGGAUACUAUUUGUCUUGAAUGUUGUGGAGGUAAGCGGAAUAUGUCAUGUAGCGGUGAAAUGCUUAGAUAUGACAUAGAACACCCAUUGCGAAGGCAGCUUACUACACAAAUAUUGACGCUGAGGCACGAAAGCGUGGGGAGCAAACAGG